rnacentral:rRNA from 1 species
AUUGAACGCUGGCGGCAGGCCUAACACAUGCAAGUCGAGCGAGCGGCGGACGGGUGAGUAAUGUCUGGGAAACUGCCUGUUGGCGGGGGAUAACUACUGGAAACGGUAGCUAAUACCGCAUACCAUCAGAUGUGCCCAGACGGGAUUAGCUGGUAGGUGGGGUAACGGCUCACCUAGGCGACGAUCCCCAGCUGGUCUGAGAGGAUGACCAGCCACACUGGAACUGAGACACGGUCCAGACUCCUACGGGAGGCAGCAGUGGGGAAUAUUGGACAAUGGGCGAAAGCCUGAUGCAGCCAUGCCGCGUGUGUGAAGAAGGCCUUCGGAUUGUAAAGCUCUUUCGGCGGAGAGGCGUUACCCACAGAAGAAGCACCGGCUAACUCCGUGCCAGCAGCCGCGGUAAUUC